rnacentral:rRNA from 1 species
AUACGUAGGGUGCGAGCGUUGUCCGGAAUUACUGGGCGUAAAGAGCUCGUAGGUGGUUUGUCGCGUCGUCUGUGAAAUUCCGGGGCUUAACUCCGGGCGUGCAGGCGAUACGGGCAUAACUUGAGUACUGUAGGGGAGACUGGAAUUCCUGGUGUAGCGGUGAAAUGCGCAGAUAUCAGGAGGAACACCGGUGGCGAAGGGGGGUCUCUGGGCAGUAACUGACGCUGAGGAGCGAAAGCAUGGUUAGCGAACAGGAUUAGAUACCCUGGUAGUCCAUGCCGUAAACGGUGGGCGCUAGGUGUAGGGGUCUUCCACGACUUCUGUGCCGUAGCUAACGCAUUAAGCGCCCCGCCUGGGGAGUACGGCCGCAAGGCUAAAACUCAAAGGAAUUGACGGGG